CACGUAGGAGGCGAGCGUUGUCCGGAAUCAUUGGGCGUAAAGAGCGCGCAGGCGGCUUGGCAAGUCGGGUGUGAAAUCCCGGGGCUCAACCCCGUGACUGCAUCCGAUACUGUCAGGCUAGAGGUAGGUAGGGGAGAUCGGAAUUCUCGGUGUAGCGGUGAAAUGCGUAGAUAUCGAGAGGAACACCUGCGGCGAAGGCGGGUUGCUGGGCUGACACUGACGCUGAGGCGCGAAAGCUAGGGGAGCGAACGGG
rnacentral:rRNA from 1 species